CCCUUAUUAAACACCUAUCCUAGAAAAUUGACCUCUAACUUAAGGUUUUCACCCAAUUUUCAUCCUAUUAGUCUCAGACAGUCCACACAAACAUUAACACACACGAAAUCCACAUUUAUCUUCAAGUUUUCCUACAACAGUGCAAUCAUCCAAACAUCCUGAAUUUGGUUAAGGGUAUUGUGAUAUUUAAUGGUUGUUUGGGUUUAGCAUCUAAGUUCUCUAAUUCAACCUAUAAGCGUGAAUCAACCUCCUCAUGUACAACGCUACAAUCAACUCACGUGCAAAAAUUGAUUUCCAUUUCACAUGAAUAAGCAAAAAUCUAACUCAAACACAUAACUCGUCCACAAUUCAUAAAUCAACGCAUGUUCUCAAUUACACAUAUCAAUACCGGCAAGGUUAUCUAACACACACAAGCAUGCAAAAAGAAACGAAUU
rnacentral:lncRNA from 1 species